CCCAAUGCUACACCAGCCCAUCAACCUUAUUCCAGCCAGAGCCAACCUACCAAUCCAAAUUAAAACCCAGCCCACCAAACUUCUUUUCUCCUUUUACCCGUUAGUAGAAACAACAUUAUCAGAAAUACCCACAAUGGUUUCAACCUGAUAAGACACCAAUGAAGACAAUCCAACAAGCAAUACUCCGGCUUCAACGGUGACCCGACCCAGCACAACCCGCAAUCGACCCAUUCUAAUCCUCUCCACCCGUCCCACUCGAAUUCAUACGAGAAAAGCCAAGAAAUUUCUAGAAUUUGAUGAGUUGUCUCCCCAACGGUUUGAAUUCGCGAUUCUCAGAUGAAAUGAUGCAAGGAGUCAAAAGAAGGAAAAUGGGUUAAAGUCUCAUCCUCGAAGCGGCUAAGAGACUUGAAAGUUUCAUUUAUUUAUUUAUUCAUUUUUAUUGUUGUUGUUAUUUAUUUUAUUUAUUUAUUCACUCAUUUGGGCCUCGAAGCCAAAGUUGUAUUUAAUACAGGUAAAGUGAAACUCGAGCCAAAGGUUCAAAAAUUAGACUAGGACAGGUUAUGGGCCAAGGUCCCAAUAUAUAGAUGGGCAAAAUUCAGAAAUAACAUACUUAUCCCCUUAAUUAUGAGUUUCA